rnacentral:rRNA from 1 species
AUUGAACGCUGGCGGCAUGCCUUACACAUGCAAGUCGAGCGGAGCGGCGGACGGGUGAGUAAUGCCUAGGAAUCUGCCUGGUAGUGGGGGAUAACGACCGGAAACUGGAGCUAAUACCGCAUACUAUCGGAUGGGCCUAGUUCGGAUUAGCUAGUUGGUGGGGUAAAGGCUUACCAAGGCGACGAUCCGUACCUGGUCUGAGAGGAUGAUCAGUCACACUGGAACUGAGACACGGUCCAGACUCCUACGGGAGGCAGCAGUGGGGAAUAUUGGACAAUGGGCGAAAGCCUGAUCCAGCCAUGCCGCGUGUGCGAAGAAGGUCUUCGGAUUGUAAAGCACUUUAAGUUGGGAGGCGUUACCAGCAGAAUAAGCACCGGCUAACUUCGUGCCAGCCGCCGCGGUAAUUC